GGUCACCUGCACUAACAGCCUGAGAGAAAAGGACACUGCAUAUCACAGAGAGAUGCAUAGAUGUUACACUCAGAAAGAGAGUGAACAACUAGAAGAUGUGGAAGGCAAGCUUUUUAGUAUUAAGAGGAAAAUUCCAAGGGCCAAUUUUGAAACAAACCAGGCAGAGACCCAGAUGCAGAAUCCUGCAGGCUGAGGGAUGUUAGGAAGAGUUAGCCCACCACUGCUGCGCUGAAACCAGGAUGACGCAAACUGGGCCUCAGGCCAGGUGUAUUCCUUGGAGUAUAACUGAAGGUUUACUUGGUAAUUCUAUGUUUAACUUUUUUUGGAACUUCUGGACUAUCUUCCAAAGCAACAGUACCAUUGUACAUUUUCACCAGCCACGUAUGACAGUCACACUCUCUCCACAUUCUUGCCAAAACUUGUUAUCAUUUUUCAAAUAAAAGACAGCCUAGUGUGUAUCUGAAAGAUGUCUCAUUGUGGUUUUUACUUGCAUCCCCCUGAUGACUAAUGAUGUUGAGAAUUAUUUCAGGUGCUUAUUCCUCAUUAAUUUUUUUUGGAGAAACAUCUAUU
rnacentral:lncRNA from 1 species